rnacentral:misc_RNA from 1 species
GAAAUGCGAUAAGUAGUGUGAAUUGCAGAAUUCAGUGAAUCAUCGAAUCUUUGAACGCACAUUGCGCCUCCUUGUAUUCAGGGAGGCAUGCCUGUCAGAGUGUCAUUAAAAACCACUCAAGCUCUUUCGCUUGGUCUUGGAAAGAAGAGUCCGCUGGUUUGUCUCUCUUCCGAAAUGUAAUGGCGGAAGCCCUCAUGUACCUGGCGUAGUAAUUACUGUUCGCCUGGGGUCUUGAAACAUUCCUGCUGUCAACCCGUCCAAUUUUUUCUAGUUUGACCUCGGAUCAGGUAGGGAUACCCGCUGAACUUAA